rnacentral:rRNA from 1 species
UAUAAGAGGUCCAGCCUGCCCAGUGACAUAGUUUAACGGCCGCGGUACUCUGACCGUGCAAAGGUAGCAUAAUCAUUUGUUCUUUAAAUAAGGACUUGUAUCAACGGCAUCACGAGAGCUAUACUGUCUCCUUUUUUCAAUCAGUGAAACUAAUCUCCCCGUGAAGAAGCGGGGAUUAAACUAUAAGACGAGAAGACCCCAUGGAGCUUUAAGCAGCAUACUCACCUCAUACUUCUAUUUUCCUCACAAUAAAAUUCCUGAGUACCAGCUUUAGGUUGGGAGGACCACGGAGUAAAAAUUAACCUCCAAGACAAAUGGGCUUCGCCCUUAUCCACGAACAACAAUUCUAAGAAUUAUUAUACUAAUGCUCAAUGACCCGAUAAUUCGAUCAACGAACCAAGUUACCCUGGGGAUAACAGCGCAAUCUACUUUGAAAGCCCCUAUCGACAAGUGGGUUUACGACCUCGAUGUUGG